rnacentral:lncRNA from 1 species
NNACGCAUGCACGCACAGAUGCACGGCGCGACACGCGUAUGCACGCGUGCACAUGCAUACACACGUAUGCGCGCCCAUGCAUACGCACACGCGCACAGACCUCAGGAAAGGCAUCCGGAUGCAGUCACGUGCGGUGCAAAGACUGCCGAGAAAAUACUGGAGAACCACAGCGGCCCAUCCCCCGCCCUCCAAACACCCUAGAGCGGAAAGAUGCUGUUUGCAUAAUACUCCCGCGGCCGAGCGCGGAAAAAAAAUGGCUCCAGUUAGGCGCGCACCAGAGAAUGCGUAUGCACACACACACACACACACACACGGAUGCGCACAUGUGCACACGCAUGCACAGGCAAGCACACGUGCACACGCGUGCGCAAGCGCACGCACGCUCCUGCCGACGAGACCCAACCGUGGUCCGCGUCCUCCCGCCGCGGGCAGGGGCGCGACGCCGCGCACGGCUCCCGGGUCACCGGCCCGGAGAACGGCCGCUGGAGGACUGGGGGAACCCGCCCCGCGCGGCCGGGGAAGCCCCGUCGGAGAAGCCAAGCUCUCGGAGCGCGCACAGCCUGGCCACGAGAGAGGCGCGUCCCGGCCGGAGCUCGCUCGCUGGGCUGCUCGUGGGAAAACACACCUGAGGAAGCACACCUGGCCCUUGGGCCGCCUGCCCUACUCUCUCUCCCGGGCUUUUUCCGACAGGAUCCAAGGAAAAUCCCUUUCCCUCCAAAGGAGGGUGGCCCCGUUCUUAUUUUGCGAGUCCUUGGGCUUUCUCGUUGGAUUCCCAGGGAAGGAGCAGCCAGGGAGGGGUUCCCUCGGCAGCCUCGCAGCCAGACAGCACCACAAAAGGGCAUUAUUACACAACCCAAAUAACAAGGGCUGUCUGUUUGCAAAUCUGUUCAAAUAUUUAACCUCUUAACUUGCUAAAUAUCCCCCCUCUCCCCUCUCUCCUCUCUCUCUCUCUCUCUCUCUCUGGCGCGCGCGCGCCUCCCUUUUUUCCUUUUCCUUUCUCUGCCUAAAGUACUGGCGGGAAGGCCCCUCUAUGGAGUCUCACAUGUGGCCAGGGGCUCUGCGUUUUACCUGGCUCUCGUGCAAUGCCAAUUUCGUUUCCGGGCAAUUGCUGUUUGGCAGCCAGAGAAUCGGGUAAGAAUCGCCCAGGUCACACACACACACACACCUUUUAUUUAUAUUUAUAUUUAUAUUUAUAUUUAUAUUUAUAUUUAUAUUUAUAUAUGUG